GACGAACGCUGGCGGCGUGCCUAAUACAUGCAAGUAGAACGCAGUUGCGAACGGGUGAGUAACGCGUAGGUAACUGCCUCAUAGCGGGGGAUAACUAUUGGAAACGAUAGCUAAUACCGCAUACUUUGGGAUGGACCUGUGUUGUAUUAGCUAGUUGGUGAGGUAAAGGCUCACCAAGGCGACGUUACAUAGCCGACCUGAGAGGGUGAUCUGCCACACGGGGACUGAGGCACGGCCCCGAGUCCGACGGGAGGGAGCAGUAGGGAAUCUUCGGCAAUGGACGGAAGUCUGACCGAGCAACGCCGCGUGAGUGAAGAAGGUUUUCGGAUCUUAAAGCUCUGUUGUGAUAGAAGCGUUAACUAACCAGAAAGGGACGGCUAACUACGUGCCAGCAGCCGCGGUAAUAC
rnacentral:rRNA from 1 species